GACGAACGCUGGCGGCGUGCUUAACACAUGCCAGUCGAACGGAAAGGCCCUGCUUUUGUGGGGUGCUCGAGUGGCGAACGGGUGAGUAACACGUGAGUAACCUGCCCUUGACUUUGGGAUAACUUCAGGAAACUGGGGCUAAUACCGGAUAGGAGCUCCUGCUGCAUGGUGGGGGUUGGAAAGUUUCGGCGGUUGGGGAUGGACUCGCGGCUUAUCAGCUUGUUGGUGGGGUAGUGGCUUACCAAGGCUUUGACGGGUAGCCGGCCUGAGAGGGUGGACGGCCACAUGGGGCCUGAGAUACGGCGCAGAGUCGUAUGGGGGGCAACAGGGGGGAAUCUUGUACAGCGGGCGGGAGUCGGAUGCAGCAACGCCGCGGUUGGGAUGACGGCCUUCGGGGUGAAAAACGCUUUCGGCUGUGACGAAGCGGUAGUGACGGUAAUGGGUAAAGAAGCACCGGCUAACUACGUG
rnacentral:rRNA from 1 species